rnacentral:lncRNA from 1 species
GGAGGAGCUCAGAGAGAAUUUGUCUCUGUCAUCUAGUCUGUCACUUCAAGAACAGCAAAGCUGGUCUGAAGAGAAGGCUCAGUUAUUAAGAGUGGUUAUUACUCUUGUGGAGGGCUGACAUCCUAGCAUCCAUGUAGGGUCCGGGUAGAGAGGGGUAAGUCACGAAAGGCCUGUAACUCCAGCAUCAGGGAUCCUAGACCCUCUUCUGGCCUGCUUAUGCAUCUGCACUCAUGAGCAUAUAUACCCCUCCCCCACAUACACAGAAUUAAAACUAAAGUAAAUCUCUGGCCAGUCUCUGAGUUCAGUCAACCUGGUCUACAUCAGGAGUUCCAGGAUAGCCAGGGCUGUAUAGUAAGACUCCCUCCUUGAUAGAUGAUAGAUAAUAGAUAGACAGAUAACAAACCCUUUGUUUGUUUGUUUUUCUUUUGGGGGGUUUGUUUUGUUUUGUUUGAGACAGGGUUUCUCUGUGUAGCCCUGGCUGUCCUGGAACUCACUCUAUAGACCAGGCUGACCUCGAACUCAGAAAUCUGCCAGCUUCUGCCUCCCAAGUGCUGGAAUGAAAGGCGUGCACUGUCCAGCGGUAACAAACUCUUAAACCUUCAAAGCUAUGGUGCUCUGGCGUCAACUGCAAGGUCACUAGCCAUAAUGCUGAUUUCCAGGCUCUACCUAGACUGACAGACCUGUCCUUUGUCACUGGGAUCCAAAAAGCUGCUUUUCACAAGCACCUGGGGGAAGCCUUGCUCUUUGGAGUCAAGAGUCUCCGGCACAGAUGCAGUGUGCAUCACUAAGAUAACAGGGCAAUGCUGGGUACCCAGAUACUGCCCACUCCUAGAGGCAGGGUACAGAAGACCUGGAGAGCACAAGCUAAAAAGUGACACUGUGAAAACAGAGGGGACCAGAGAAGCUGCUGGCUGCCACAGGAUGAUGCUUAGAGGAAAACACCUGAUCAGUAACUGUUGAUGUGUUCACAAACAUUGUUGAAGGAAAAGGUAUUUGAAAGAGUAUAAUGGAUGCAGAAGAAAUCCGUAGUUAUACCUUGCUCAGCCUUUCAGAAGCAUGGUUUCACAGAAGACCCCAGGUCCCCUGAGUAAGACAAUGACUCCUGUGUGUUUCAGAAGCGUUUAUCAGCUGCCUCAGCCAGUUGUCAUUGCAUGUGCAGAGCUGGUGUUAGCAUCGAACCCUGCUAUAAAAUGUCCCCGUAGAAAAUCAUGUUGGGUAUAAUAUGCUUUCUUAACUUAUACACACUAAAGGAAGUUUUUGAAAAAAAUCUGUAAUGUUUGGACAAACAAACCAUAUUGUGUUGCUUUAAUAUUCUAAAUUAAACUUUUAAUAAAGAUUACCAGAAUA